rnacentral:rRNA from 1 species
GACGAACCGUGCAACCGUUAUUCGGAAUCACUGGGCUUAAAGAGCGCGCAGGCGGUCGUUCAAGUCGCGUGUGAAAGCCCCCGGCUCAACUGGGGAGGGUCACGCGAUACUGAUCGACUCGAAGGCAGGAGAGGGUAGUGGAAUUCCCGGUGUAGUGGUGAAAUGCGUAGAUAUCGGGAGGAACACCUGAGGCGAAGGCGGGCUACUGGGCCGAUACUGACGCUGAGGCGCGAAAGCCAGGGGAGCGAACGGG